ACACACACACACACACACACACACACACACACACACACACACACACACACACACACACGAUGACUGAUGCCUUCUCCCUCCUUCUCUUGCAUUCUCGUUUUCUCUCUCUGCAGCACUGAGACUUUUGUGUGUUUGUCCUCUCUGCAUAGCGUACGGUGGAACCGGUUCUGCACAGCUCCAGCAGAGCACUGUGAGGAAAAAGUACAGGAUUAGUACUUUUUCCUCACAGCGUUGAUAUCCUUUGUCCAUAGGGCAUGUUUCCCUUCAAAGUCCUGAGCGUGGAAGGGGUGAAGAAAAGAGCAAUGGUGUCUGAGGAAGAGGAGAUGAGGCAACAGCGGAUAAAAUGUGACGAGACUGGAGUGAAAUAGAGAUGCAAGGCUGCAAGUCAAGAGGGAAGGCACUAACUCGAGAGUGAGGAAGAGAGGACAGAGAGGAGGAAUCAAGUUGGAAUCGGGAAAGAAACGCGGGAAAAGUGAUACACAUGCUCUGCAGUGGCGUCGGAGGUGUCAGCUGCCUGCGUCACACAACAACACCCUCGAGUGUGCCAGUUCUCUGGUGCCAGACAGAGAGGAGGAGAGUCAUCCUCCACUUCAUGUCUGAGGAACACCUAGCACACUUUGACAAGGUAGUGAUCUCAAGCUCUGUGCGUUUGCGACGGCAGCCCUGCAGAGACAAAAGGUGAGGAGCUGUAUGGAUGUAAGUCAGGUAGGUAGCUAGAGAGCAGAAUAAUGGAAUCAAUACUAUUGUCUGUAACCUACCUGCCGCUGGGCUCUCUGUCUGGCCCCGGCAUAGACCAUCAGAGAGGGAGAGAGAGAGCUAAGAGGAAACAGGCUCACUCUGACUGGGAAAGAAAAGGAAAGAAGAGGCUGGCUGUAAAGGUGAUUGUCUUUUCUUUUUUUUUACAUUUUCACUCACAAAGUAAAUGUAGAUUAAGGAUUGUAUGUUUAUUUUUUAGGGAGAGAUUGCAUGCAUUUUUAUCUGAAACUUUUUUAUCACUAAUUCUUCACAUCUUUUCCUUUGGCAGUCAUGUUGUAUGUGCAUGCAUGUAUGCUCUCUUCUAGCUGUAUUUAUAUUUGUAGUGUAAAUGUGACAUUCUGUCUGUGUUUGCACACAUUGAAAAGGCUUUCAAUUAGUGUAUAGGCUGCAUGUUGUCGACAGGUCACGUCUGCGUUUUGUGUUUGAUUUGCGGCUUGUUAUAAUUCUCACUUUCCUUAAACACCUCAUUUGUAAAUCUGAUGAUGAAAAAAAUACGCCUGAACCUCGUAAUGAUCAUAUUCAGGCAGGUAAAUUAGUAAAAUUGAAGGAAUUUUAAUGUUAUGACUGGCAGUGUAGUACAAUAUGCAUUCACACCUGACUCAAUUAUGAAUGUGUUCACACAGUAAUUUCCAUCUCUGUUGUGCAUAAUUAAUUCACAGUUUUAUUGAUACUGACAUGAAUGUAUUUUAAACAAACCUAAAAAAGCAACCUCUGCUGCAGACAAAUUCAUAAUUCAUUUCUAUCUGUUUGUCUAUUUGUAAGUUAUGACAAAUGUCUACUAUUCCCUCUUGUCUGAUCCAGCUGCCAUGUCUGUCACAUGCGACAUUAACUGAGACAAUCUCAAAAUCACACCUCUGUAUUCCAAAAUCUUGAGGCCUGCAGCUCAUGAAGUCGACCUGUAGGUAAAACCUAAUGUGCAUUAAUGCAGUUCAGUUUGAUGCAGGUUGUGACGCAGGCACUUUGAAACCCUUUUUCACAUUGACACGGAGGUGUUUUACAUGAUAAAAUCUUGCUGCCCUGACAUAAAAUGUGCUAAUUUCCCUUUCCUACAGCAUAUGAACAUAUUCAGUCUUCCCCAGUCAGUAUGUGUCAUUCUGUCUGUCUACCAGUGGGUGGCGUUGGCUUGUAAUAUUUCUACGCAAUACAUUUUUCUUUCUCUCACCACCAGAAAAUUUUACAUUGAUAUGUUGGAUUUAUGAAAAAUUACAGUUUGAUAUUGUUGCAGUUUGACAGAGUGUCAUUACAUCACGUAAUUUACAGGUGGAUUAAUGUCUUAUACCCUCCCCCCUCCUGUCUUCGUAAUCAUCGAAAACUAGUUAUAUCGUAACCGGUGAGUCAGAUCCUGUCUUGCUCUAAAUAUUGGACUGAAACAAUAUUGUAUGACAAGGUAAUAAUAAACAUUUGGUCUGUAUAUAACUGUAAAUUCAUCUAGACUGUAACUCUGUUUAAAUUGUCUUACCCAGACAGUCAUACCUCAGCAAUUAUGAGUAAAUUACCCCUUCUAUGACACAUAAGUUAUGAUUUAGGCAAAGAUUCUGCUAUUUAUGUGUCUUACAUAGAGUAAAGAGUUAGGGCGGUUAUUAAGAACGAAAGAAAAAUGUCCCUUUCUUUGAGGAGUAAGUUAUGUUCUAGACUGUAACUCUGCCACUAAUGUUUCAUACGUACUUAUGACGCUGAUUUUUAAAGCCCUUUCGGCUCAUUGAUCUCCGAACAGCUAGGUGACACCAUAAUUUGUCAGCGCUAGCUCAAUAAAUCAAAUGUUCAAAAUGCACAAGACAUUUAACAACAGUUUGAAAUUAAUCUCCUAAAUGAAUUGUGUCUCCUCCACAACGUGCUCAACUGCUGCACUGCUGACAUUAUUUGAGCCUUUCUGUGAAAUGUUACUUUGCUUGUCAUUGCUGCACUAUGAGGUACAAGACUAAUGUGGAUGAAAUGUAGACAAAUAUGGGAUUAUCGUGUUUUACUUGAACUGAUCAGUUUUGCCUCUGUUCUGCAGCAAACCAGGAGAGCGGUCGGUGCCGCAGAAUCCAAAUGUCAGAUGAGGUCAUGUCUUUGUCUCGGUGCAGCGACUCUGCGGCUCUUUCUUUCAAUACGUUUCAUCUCAGCGUUGUUUUUCUGUAGCUUACAUUAAACUGCUAAUUUUAAGAUUUUAAAUUGCUCCGUAUUUAAACCCUUCCUGUGUAUUUUAAUUUCACAGUAUGCCCCUCUGUCCCUGAGACCCUUAACCUGUGAGGUCAAAGCAGGUCACAGGUGAGGUCCUCGGGAACAGGGCUGCAUUCAGUUUCAACGUCCUAGAAAAAAGGAGCAUUUUGUAAAAACAUUAUUACUGAAAGUCAUGUUUUAAUGUUUGACGUGUCCUUUGAUAUUCUCACCAUCCUUCAAAACUAUUUUAAACACAAGAAAACUCACAUUUUCUUCUGCCUCUAAUGUCUCCAGCUGUCUGUUCCUUCAGUAUAUGUUUACCUGUCAUGUCAUGAUCAAGAGUUGUCAGGUUGUACAAGAAGAAGAAGAUCCCUCCUCCCUACAGCACAGACACUCUCAGGGGGCCAACGCUAUUGGCUGGCUUUGUGUUAUAUCCCUCAAUGGGGGCCAAUAGGAAGACAGCCAAGGGUUGUGACCCCGUCAUUUAUGUCAACUACAAAAAUCCGUGGAGUUAUUGGUACAUCGUGUGCAUGUUUCUGCACUUCUACUACUUUGUACUGGAAAAGUAUAUCUGUGUUUUAUGUAUGGUAAUAAAAUAUGUCAAGAAAAA